rnacentral:rRNA from 1 species
UACGGAAGGCAGCAGUGGGGAAUAUUGCACAAUGGGCGCAAGCCUGAUGCAGCCAUGCCGCGUGUAUGAAGAAGGCCUUCGGGUUGUAAAGUACUUUCAGUCGUGAGGAAGGUGUUAAGGUUAAUAACCUUAGCAAUUGACGUUAGCGACAGAAGAAGCACCGGCUAACUCCGUGCCAGCAGCCGCGGUAAUACGGAGGGUGCGAGCGUUAAUCGGAAUUACUGGGCGUAAAGGGCACGCAGGCGGUUAAUUAAGUUGGAUGUGAAAUCCCCGGGCUUAACCUGGGAAUGGCAUUCAAGACUGGUUAGCUAGAGUCUUGUAGAGGGGGUUAGAAUUCCAUGUGUAGCGGUGAAAUGCGUAGAGAUGUGGAGGAAUACCGGUGGCGAAGGCGGCCCCUGGACAAAGACUGACGCUCAUGUGCGAAAGCUGGGGAGCAAACG